rnacentral:lncRNA from 1 species
AUGUGGCUCAGUUCCUUAUCUCAAACAUUGUCUUUUUAAACUAAAUUUCUACUGUUUUUGUUUGUUGCAGGCACCAUGUUAGCAAAACUUUCGGAGGUGACAGUCCUUCAGAGGCUCUGGGAAGCUCGGGUGUUGGCUGGACUUCGGCGGGUGUGGCGGGUGGUGCGCUCGGAGGGCCCUUCACGCGAUAACCGUGGAUACCUUGGCUUGGAGCUCGUACGGGAAAAGAGUUCGGGAGCAGGUGAAAGUAAGCGGGGUGCCCCUAGGCGGCGGCUCGGCGGCUUCGCGACAGGCCCCGGUGGCGGCCCCGCUGCAGGCCCCUUGCCCCCCGGCCCCACCAGCGGCGAGCCAGCCGGUGAAGAAGCAGCGGCUCGACCACGCGGCCAACGCCCACCCCACCGCGGUCAUGAACGUCAACGUCCAGGUCGACCCCGCCGACAACAUCUGCAGGGAGGUCGCGCUCUGCCAGAGCAUGGACUCCAUCGCCAACUCCCAAGGAGAGGAAGAGGUACGUACCUACCACCAAUUUCAUCCCCGUAAAUAUUUGCAUGAAAGGAUCCGUGAAAUUAUGGGGGUCGAAAACAACAUAGUGCAUGACAUUUUUACAAAACAGCUUGUCUGGUAUGGUCAUGUGCAACGGAUGCCAGAUGAUAGGUUGCCUAAGAAGGUUCUGGAUUGGGUCCCCCCUGGCAGAAAGCGUAGAGGACGCCCUGCCAAAUCGUGGAUUGAGGGAAUAAGGCAGGAAAUGAGGAGAUGCAAUCUGCCGGAAGAGCUCUGGCAGGAUCGCUAUCAGUGGCGGUUGGGUGUCGCAGAGCGCGCAGAAGCGCUUUAAGAGCGACUUGUUAGUAGUAGUAGUAGUAGUAGUAGUAGUAGUAGUAAAUAUUUGCAUGAUCGAAACCCAGGAAGGGCAAGAGAUCCUCCAUUGCACUGAAAAAAAAAUCCGGCUGUGGAAACCGUACUUACGGGCUGUAGACAUACCGUCUGCGUUCCGGGUAAACAGGCCAAAAGUUCCGAGUGUAGCAUCCGAAGCAGUUACAGCUACGUCUCCGGCACCCAGAACUCUCGGCCUCUGAACCCGGAACGGACAGUAUGUCUAUAUAGCCUGUAAUUUUUUUCAGUGCGCUGUCUUGGCAAUGGUGGAAGCUUUUACUUUCGGGGCCUCAAGAUUCAACUGCUCGGUUACCUACCAGAUGGAUGUUGAACAACGUGUUGGGUAUUUCGUUCCACGAACAUGGAGAAGUUUGGCAAACUUGUUCGGCUCAUUACGCCACUCGAAGCUCAUCAUCCAACUAGUGGGCAGGUCAACAGCCGAAAAAGGGUGAUGAUUGUUGCUACCUUAUAAUAUUGUCCAUAAGGAAUUGUUGAAUCUCUUAUAGUAAAAGUUUCCGCCAGUCUCAUUUUUAUUCUUAUUUGUGCGUUAGGGCGCUCAUUUCUGAACAUUCUUGGAAAUCUCGGUUUGUAAUUGGAAUUUAAAGGUUGACAGUAGCAUUAUCACAGUGUUUUUGUUUUAGAAGGUUGACUACCCUUUUGGACCCUAAGAGCUCCAUAUUUCGACUUGUCCGUAUACCCACUCAUAUAGAUACUCAACCCCACACCAGUCCGCACCAGGUUAACAUCCUCUCAGACAGACGCGGAGCCAUAUGCCUCGGGAAAUCGCCCGACUCGGGUUCGCCGUCGGGCAGUCUGGCGGUGCCCGUCGAACUCGGAGGUCUGGACGUCUUGGGGGAGGGGGGCAUAGCGGGAGCGGCCCCGGUGAUGAAAUCCAGAUCCAGCGGCGGCGGCGGCGACGGACGGCGCACGUAGCGUGCGAGGUGUAAGAUAACAGGCCGGGCUGACCGUGAAAAUGAGAAAAUUGAUGCAGGCCAGAAGGAGGCCGCCGCACCGCACCGAGCCACGCCGCGCCGCGCGGCAAGGUGAAGUACGCCGCGCCGGCCAGCCCGACCGCUGCCGGAUCGCCCGCGACGACGGAUCUGACGGAUGCGCCGCACCGAAAACGGUCCCAUGGCAUCACGAA